AGAGUUUGAUCCAUGGCUCAGAAUACAACGCUGGCGGCGUGCCUCAGACAUGCAAGUCGAACGAUUAAGACUUCCUUCGGGAAGUGCAUAAAGUGGCGCACGGGUGAGUAACACGUAAGUAAUCUACCCUCGAGUGGGGAAUAACGUUCGGAAACGAACGCUAAUACCGCAUAACGCAGCGGCACCGCAAGGUGACAGUUGUUAAAGGAGUAAUUCGCUUGAGGAGGAGCUUGCGGCAGAUUAGCUAGUUGGUAAGGUAACGGCUUACCAAGGCUACGAUCUGUAUCCGGUCUAAGAGGACGGUCGGACACACUGACACUGAAUAACGGGUCAGACUCCUACGGGAGGCAGCAGUCGGGAAUUUUGGGCAAUGGGCGAAAGCCUGACCCAGCAACGCCGCGUGAAGGAUGAAGUAUUUCGGUAUGUAAACUUCGAAAGAAUGGGAAGAAUAAAUGACGGUACCAUUUAUAAGCUCCGGCUAACUACGUGCCAGCAGCCGCGGUAAUACGUAGGGAGCAAGCGUUGUUCGGAUUUACUGGGCGUAAAGGGCGCGUAGGCGGCGCGGUAAGUCACUUGUGAAAUCUCUGAGCUUAACUCAGACGGCCAAGUGAUACUGCAGUGCUAGAGUGCAGAAGGGGCAAUCGGAAUUCUUGGUGUAGC
rnacentral:rRNA from 1 species